AUCCUGUGGUGGUUCAUAAGAAUAGGGACUGGGUUUUCAUACUCGUGUGAGAUGUGCCUUCCUUAAACCUUAAGACAUUGGCACAUUACCUAUGUGAUG